UUUUAUAGUUUUGAUCCCAUGACAACCCAUCGACCUGUGAAAAUUCUCAUGUUUGCUCUGAAGAGGCAAUAAAAAAGAAUAAAGUUCCAACUAGAACAAUGCUCCCAGAAAGGCUCAAAUACUUUUACACAUCUGGCUUGUGUGCAAUUUAAAGAACCUGAUGCAUCUUUUGGAAGAAUUUCACCCUGGCAGCUGGGCCAGGUAUCCCAACGAUAGGGUCCAGACCUGAAACAAAAUCUUAAAAAAGUGUCCUUUCAUACAUAUUGGUGAGCUCCAUGAAACCUUACAUGUGACCAGCUCCAGCAAAAACAGCCAUUUGUAGGAAAAAUUCAGAAACAAGUUGAAAGAAAUUUUAAGCAAGCAAUACAAUACCUGCAUGUUUCAACGUACUGUAGAUGAUGCUCAUAAAAUCAAGGAAAUGCUUCUACAGUUGAUGUUGUGUUUGAGCACUAUCAUAACCAUCACGAAUGAGUCAAAAUGGAGUUGGAAAGCUGUGCUAAUGCUGCUCCUGCUUGUCCUCUUGUUAUGUGAGAAUUAACUUGCAGUAAGUAUGGUGCAUCCCAAGGCAAACAGUGCUAUUUAUGAAAGACGAAAUGCUUAGUGACAGGCAAAAUGCUUGGUGGCGGAGGAAAUGGUUGGUGACAGAAGACACACUUGGUCACAGAGAAAAUUACAUGUCAAAAAGGAAAUUCCAGGUGACAGAGGAAAUUCCAGGUAACAAUGAUGAUUAAACAACGUUUUAAAGGACAGAAUGCACAUAGCAAUGAUUUUUUUUUAACAAACCCUUUCUGUUUACCAUACAUUUUGCAUCUAAAGAUGAUCUUUUAGAGGGUUCAUUAGUGACAUUUAUUCAAUUUUGUAUAUCAUUUAAAACUCCAUUUUGCUACAUAUUCUAUUAAUAUAUAUGGCCUACAUUAUUCUGACGUAUACACUAUCACUCUCACAAAAUUUCUGGCAAAGUGAAGAGAAUGUACAGGUACUGAUUUUUGUCAACUAGAGACACAAACUUACUGGAACUUUGUACAUAUAUACACUAAGUACAAUUUUGUUAGUCACUUGCAAUCAAGUUGUUAUGUACUUUUUUUAGCUGAAGAGAAUGAAACAUUCUCAGUAAAUAAAUAUUGCAUUCAGUCCAACAGACAGUCAUAUACUCACCUUGUAAAGACUACACUGCGAAAUUAAAAAUUAAGAAGGGGCAACAUAUACAGAAGUUGAAAACACUAUAAUUUGAGAUUGGAAACCUAAUCUCCGACAACUUGAUCUAGACACAUUUCUCUAGGGUACCGAAGGCUUUCUGCUGCCUUUUCGAGUUGUACUAAUUAUUGCAGUAACUAUUGCAUUCAUUUCCAUAUAAUUUCAUGCAAUAAACAUUUGGUGUUCGCACAACUGUGAAUGUGACGGUGGAUAAAAUCUGGGAUGAAUUAUAUGCAUUUGUGAUGGUGGAAUGCUGUAUUCAAAUGAACAGGUACUUGCCAAAAAACAAGACAAAUUGCUUUUUAUGGUAAAAAGAUGAAAAAAUACAGUUGAAGUGGAACUGAUGGUUCGGGUGUUAGUGUCUUCUAAGGAAGAGGUUAGUACACUCUACGAUGGGGCAGUUUGAUAGGAUUUUAAUUUAAAAAAAAAAUAACAGCACACUACACCAGGCAU
rnacentral:lncRNA from 1 species